GACGAACGCUGGCGGCGUGCUUAACACAUGCAAGUCGAACGGAAAGGCCCCUUUGGGGGUACUCGAGUGGCGAACGGGUGAGUAACACGUGAGUAACCUGCCCUUGACUUCGGGAUAACUUCAGGAAACUGGGGCUAAUACCGGAUAGGAAUCCUUGCUGCACGGUGGGGGUUGGAAAGCUUCGGCGGUUUUGGAUGGACUCGCGGCUUAUCAGCUUGUUGGUGGGGUAGUGGCUUACCAAGGCUUUGACGGGUAGCCGGCCUGAGAGGGCGACCGGCCACAUUGGGACUGAGAUACGGCCCAGACUCCUACGGGAGGCAGCAGUGGGGAAUAUUGCACAAUGGGCGGAAGCCUGAUGCAGCAACGCCGCGUGCGGGAUGACGGCCUUCGGGUUGUAAACCGCUUUCAGCAGGGGCGAAGCUUUUGUGACGGUACCUGCAGAAGAAGCACCGGCUAACUACGUG
rnacentral:rRNA from 1 species